UACGAAGGGGGCUAGCGUUGCUCGGAAUCACUGGGCGUAAAGGGUGCGUAGGCGGGUUUUUAAGUCAGAGGUGAAAUCCUGGAGCUCAACUCCAGAACUGCCUUUGAUACUGUAAGUCUUGAGUACAGUUGAGGUGGGCGGAAUGUGCAGUGUAGCGGUGAAAUGCUUAGAUAUUGCACAGAACACCAAUUGCGAAGGCAGCUCGCUAAGCUGUAACUGACGCUGAGGCACGAAAGUGUGGGUAGCAAACAGG
rnacentral:rRNA from 1 species